UGGGGAAUAUUGCACAAUGGGCGCAAGCCUGAUGCAGCAACGCCGCGUGAAUGAAGAAGGCCUUCGGGUCGUAAAGUUCUGUCCUAGGGGAAGAAAAAAAUGACGGUACCCUGGGAGGAAGCCCCGGCUAACUACGUGCCAGCAGCCGCGGUAAUACGUAGGGGGCAAGCGUUAUCCGGAAUUAUUGGGCGUAAAGGGUGCGUAGGCGGCCGAUCAAGCCAGAAGUGAAAGGACAUGGCUCAACCAUGUUUAGCUUUUGGAACUGGUUGGCUUGAGUGCAGGAGAGGAAAGUGGAAUUCCUAGUGUAGCGGUGAAAUGCGUAGAUAUUAGGAGGAACACCAGUAGCGAAGGCGGCUUUCUGGACUGUAACUGACGCUGAGGCACGAAAGUGUGGGGAGCA
rnacentral:rRNA from 1 species